rnacentral:rRNA from 1 species
AUUGAACGCUGGCGGCAGGCCUAACACAUGCAAGUCGAGCGGAGCGGCGGACGGGUGAGUGAUGCCUAUGAAUCGGCCUGGUAGUGGGGGAUAACGUCCGGAAACGGGCGCUAAUACCGCAUACUCUCAGAUGAGCCUAGGGCGAAUUAGCUAGUUGGUGGGGUAAAGUCCGACAAAGGCGACGAUCCGUAACUGGUCUGAGAGGAUGAUCAGUCACACUGGAACUGAGACACGGUCCAGACUCCUACGGGAGGCAGCAGUGGGGAAUAUUGGAAAAUGGGCGAAAGCCUGAUCCAGCCAUGCCGCGUGUGUGAAGAAGGUCUUCGGAUUGUAAAGCACUUUAAGUUGGGAGGCGGUACCAACAGAAUAAGCACCGGCUAACUUCGUGCCAGCAGCCGCGGUAAUUC